UAGUACUUCUAAUGUCAUGUCCAUUGUGUGUGUUUGUUUAUAGUACCAACAAACACACACAAUGGACAUGACAUUAAGUACUA
rnacentral:pre_miRNA from 1 species